rnacentral:tRNA from 2 species
GUCCCCAUCGUCUAGAGGCCAAGGACGCCGCCCUUUCACGGCGGCAACACGGGUUCAAAUCCCGUUGGGGACG